rnacentral:rRNA from 1 species
AGUGAACGCUGGCGGUAGGCCUAACACAUGCAAGUCGAACGGCAGCACAGUAAGAGCUUGCUCUUACGGGUGGCGAGUGGCGGACGGGUGAGGAAUACAUCGGACUCUACUUUUUCGUGGGGGAUAACGUAGGGAAACUUACGCUAAUACCGCAUACGACCUACGGGUGAAAGCAGGGGAUCUUCGGACCUUGCGCGAUUGAAUGAGCCGAUGUCGGAUUAGCUAGUUGGCGGGGUAAAGGCCCACCAAGGCGACGAUCCGUAGCUGGUCUGAGAGGAUGAUCAGCCACACUGGAACUGAGACACGGGCCAGACUCCUACGGGAGGCAGCAGUGGGGAAUAUUGGACAAUGGGCGCAAGCCUGAUCCAGCCAUACCGCGUGGGUGAAGAAGGCCUUCGGGUUGUAAAGCCCUUUUGUUGGGAAAGAAAAGCAGCAGGUUAAUACCCCGCUGUUCUGACGGUACCCAAAGAAUAAGCACCGGCUAACUUCGUG